CCCCUCCCACCGUUCGCCUUGACAGCACAGCACGAUGGCGCUCAAAGGAAGUCAAGAGAAUGACCUGUUCCUCCAAGGCCAUCUUCUGACCUCUAGCCCCUCUGCCAAGACAGCACAGGGACAGGGAGCCAGGAAAAGAACGUGCCUCACUCCCAGCUGUCGUCCACCUCCGUUUAGCGGAGCUGCCACCCGGCAAUUACCACGCCUGGGUUCUCCUUUGGAAAAGGAGCACAGGAGAACAAUGCCGCAGCCAGUCCUCCUGGACAAGAAGGCAGAAGAAGAUGAAAUGAGAACCAGAACAUGAACAAGAUUUUGCUUCCUGCCCUCCUCCCAGAAAUCCAGCCAGUGUCUGAACUGGCAGCAGGAGGGGAAGGGAAUUUAAGGAGGAGGAAAUUAAAGCACACA
rnacentral:lncRNA from 1 species